rnacentral:rRNA from 1 species
AGAGUUUGAUCCUGGCUCAGAACGAACGCUGGCGGCAUGCCUAACACAUGCAAGUCGAACGCUUUCAUGGUUUCGGCCAUGGAGGAGUGGCGCACGGGUGAGUAGCGCGUGGGAACCUGCCUUUCAGUGGGGGAUAACCGAGGGAAACUUCGGCUAAUACCGCAUGCGCCCGGGCAACCGGGGAAAGAUUUAUCGCUGAG